rnacentral:misc_RNA from 1 species
AUGUAUCCCAGACUUUUCCCUUUCCGAUGGAGAGUCUCCUCAUUUGAUUGUAUUACACCCAAAGGGCUCGUGAACACAUUCAGACACUAGUUGCUUUUACUUAUAAUGAAGAGAACGUAUCCUACUCCGACAGCUAGUGGAGGAUUUAACACAACAAUCAACCACUCUGCUCUCACACAUAAUAUUUGCCUAACUUAAUUUAACUUAAUACCACUCUACCUUCUGUGACGGUAAUGGCCACACCCUGCGUCUA